GCACUCUGGCGCUUAAUUGCUCCAAUUUAGUCUUGACCUCUAACGACGUAAUCAGAAAUUUCAAUUUGGACGCUUUGACAAACCGGACGUAUUCCAUAACAGAAGAAAACGGAUUUCCUAGGGUAUACAAUUUCUCUGUUUGUAGGAAUCUCGAUCAGCCAUGUGGAGACGACAAAGCUGAAAAUGUCUGUUCAAAAAUAAUUCUGCCUCUGUAUGCGAGUAUGUGUCUAAGAAUGCCAAUAAUGAAACAGAUGGAACAUACCUUUGCUUUAAAGACAGUGGUAAAAUGCCAGUAUACACGACCUUCAGUCUUCCUGGCGAGAAGAAACCACGUGAGGGGAUUUUGUUCAAGAACUUUUUUGCUGGGAAAGGAGGUGAGCAAGAAACCAUCCCUUUCGUAGACAUUUACAUAGUAUGUAACGAGAGCAUUGGUCUCGAUAAAGAACCAGUUAUCGAAGGCCCGAUCCAUAUUAAUGAAAAUGCUACUCAUAAAGACCCAGUUAGCGUCGCUAUUAUCUUAUCUCAAAAAGCUGGAUGUCCAACAAGAGUUCAUAAAAUCUACAAGGGAAAUACGUUAAGUACCGGAUCGAAAAUGCUCAUUGUAUUUUUUACGGUAGUUGCGGCUUAUCUGUUCCUUGGUAUCGUGUUGAAUUACUUCAGCGGAGCAUCUGGGUUAAACCUCAUUCCAA